AAACAAGGAGAGUGAGACCAGGAAGGAGGAAAAGCCAAUGUGAGGAGGCGUUAGCAAGUUUGCUGGGGUGAGUGCGGCCGGGACCACCGCGGAGGCACGCAGAACACCUGUGUUAACUGUUCAGCUUGAGGACAGGAGCCUUUUUUCACUGGCUCCGUCUCCCAUUUGAGGGUUGUGCUAGCGACGUAGAUUCUUCCACAUUUCCAAGCUGAGCUUGAGCCAGACACAGCAUUGGAGGAGUCCGUAGGGGAAACCACAAAGACAGAGCAGCAUGGACUAGAGAUGGAACACGGUCGGCACACGGCAAAAGAGAACUGUGGAGCUGCAGCCAUCUGGGAACUGGACCCAGUGGACCAUGCUUCCCAGACACUGCAGCGUUCUCUCAAAACUGACAGGAGCUGGGUGCCGCUCCCAGAAUCAGGAGGUUUGUGCUUAUGUGCCUGAAUGGCUGUCUACCCUCAGGCUCUGAUCUCCCUAGAUGUCUCAGGGGAGCACCUUUCUGAGUGAAUUCUGCUGUUGGAAGUGCCAGGAGAAUCCAAAGACCUCAGCAGACAGUUGUCAUGAGUCUUGGGUGUACCACACAGCCCCCAACUUGAGGACUGAAACACUCAUUCCCCAAAUACUGGGAGUACUGACAGCUAACAUCUCUCAGCCCUUGUCUGAGGAGAGCCAUUUUGCCCAAGUUCGUGUCCCCUUUCCAGGGGCAGCGGAUCCAAUGACUCAUCAGCACAGGAGAAUAAAGGCCUGACCUACUUGCACCAGCUGUGCCACCUCUGCAGACACCGCAGCUCCACAGCACCCUGCUGGCUUGGUUCUCUCAGACCUCUGUUGUGACUGUACUGUGGUCAAGAUCUCCCUCUGCCCAAGUCAGCUUCCUCCACUCCCGACAGCUGCCGAGCCUGGGAGAAUUCCUCAGUAACCUUCUGCAUGCUGAUCUCCCUUUCAGAGUCUGCGUCCUGGGUAACCUGACCUGGAACAACUAUAACCAGACAGGUUAAAGCACUCCCAAAUGGUGCCCACAUUUUGGGGGAACGUUUUGCAAUCUGAAUAAAAGCUAGGAAGUG
rnacentral:lncRNA from 1 species